UCCCCAGUGGCUCAGACGGUAAAGCAUCUGCCUACAACCCGGGAGACCUGGGUUUGAUCCCUGGCUUGGGAA
rnacentral:tRNA from 1 species